AGUUCUAUACAGAGUACAUGCC
rnacentral:siRNA from 1 species